rnacentral:rRNA from 1 species
AUUAGAUACCCCAGUAGUCAAAGCAGAAAAUGAUGAAUGUCAUAGAUUAGAUAUACAAUUUAUUCUAUAAAUGAAAGUGUAAGCAUUCCACCUCAAGAGUAAUUUGGCAACAUUGGAACUGAAAUCAUUAGACCGUUUCUGAAACCAGUAGUGAAGUAUGUUGUUUAAUUUGAUGAUACGCAAAAAACCUUACCACAAUUUGAAUAUUUAUAUAUAUCUUUUAUUGAUUUUUACUAACAUAUAUGUAGACAAUUAAAAUGAUGCUUAUCUCUAGUUUGUGAGACUAAGCAUCAAAAAAGAUAGUAUAUUUACAAGCGUUGCACGGCUGUCUUCAGUUAAUGUCGUGAGAUUUUGGUUAGUUCCAUUAAAUUAACGUAAACCCUUACUUUAUUUCUAUAUAAAGUAGUUCUCCGCUAUAUUGGAUAUGAUAACAGGGACUAAGACAAG